UACAGAGGUCUCAAGCGUUGUUCGGAUUCAUUGGGCGUAAAGGGUGUGUAGGUGGCGCGCUAAGUCGGGUGUGAAAUUUCGGAGCUUAACUCCGAAACUGCAUUCGAUACUGGCGUGCUUGAGGACUGGAGAGGAGACUGGAAUUCAUGGUGUAGCAGUGAAAUGCGUAGAGAUCAUGAGGAAGACCAGUGGCGAAGGCGACUACCUGGCCUGUUUUCUUGACGCUGAGGCGCGAAAGCUAGGGGAGCAAACGGG
rnacentral:rRNA from 1 species